rnacentral:rRNA from 1 species
CCUACGGGUGGCAGCAGUGAGGAAUAUUGGUCAAUGGACGAGAGUCUGAACCAGCCAAGUAGCGUGAAGGAUGACUGCCCUAUGGGUUGUAAACUUCUUUUAUAAAGGAAUAAAACGAGGCACGUGUGCCUUUUUGCAUGUACUUUAUGAAUAAGGAUCGGCUAACUCCGUGCCAGCAGCCGCGGUAAUACGGAGGAUCCGAGCGUUAUCCGGAUUUAUUGGGUUUAAAGGGAGCGUAGAUGGGUUGUUAAGUCAGUUGUGAAAGUUUGCGGCUCAACCGUAAAAUUGCAAUUGAUACUGGCAGUGGUGAGUACAGUUGAGGUGGGGGGAAUUCGUGGUGUAGCGGUGAAAUGCUUAGAUAGCACGAAGAACCGCGAUUGCGAAGGCAGCUUACUAAACUGUGACUGACAUUGAUGCUCGAAAGUGUGGGUAUCAAACAGGAUUAGAUACCCGGGUAGUC